CCUACGGGAGGCAGCAGUGAGGAAUAUUGGUCAAUGGACGAGAGCCUGAACCAGCCAAGUAGCGUGAAGGAUGACUGCCCUAUGGGUCGUAAACUUCUUUUAUAAGGGAAUAAAACGAGGCACGUGUGCCUUUUUGCAUGUACUUUAUGAAUAAGGAUCGGCUAACUCCGUGCCAGCAGCCGCGGUAAUACGGAGGAUCCGAGCGUUAUCCGGAUUUAUUGGGUUUAAAGGGGGCGUAGAUGGGUUGGUAAGUCAGUGGUGAAAGUUUGCGGCUCAACCGUAAGAUUGCAAUUGAUACUGGCAGUCUUGAGUACAGUAGAGGUAGGCGGAAUUCGUGGUGUAGCGGUGAAAUGCUUAGAUAUCACGAAGAACCCCGAUUGCGAAGGCAGCUUACUAAACUGUGACUGACAUUGAUGCUCGAAAGUGUGGGUAUCAAACAGGAUUAGAUACCCGUGUAGUC
rnacentral:rRNA from 1 species